rnacentral:lncRNA from 1 species
GAACCCUCGCCGACCGCCCCCCGCCCAGCCCUCCUUUGCUCCGCCCUCCCUGUAUUAUUCGUUAGAGGCGACCGGCGGCCAUUUUGGAUUCGGGCGGAAAUCAAAUCAAAACUGCGCAAGAAAAGCCUAAACAUUAAAAUCAAGACAAACUUGCGCCUUCAAGUCGACGGCCAAGGGAGGGGACAUCUUCGCAGACCAACUGGGCCGCUGGGAGGAGCGAGUGAAACGCGAGGUCAGCCGCGGCGCCCACACUCAAGAUGGCACCGUCCUGAGGAGCGCUGUGUGGCCGCUCUAGCUCGGUUCCGGGUUCGUUCCUCUCAGUGGUGGCGUCGGAGGGCUGGAGGCUGCUGUUCUGUCCGGUUUCCGCACCUGUCUCUAUGGUGUCAGAGGGACCAGACCUCGGAAGACUGUGGGUGUAGUGGCCAGAGCCUCACGGGGGAGGCGAGGGUGGCUGGUGUCAACAGGGGGCGAAGAGGGGACCGGAGCCAAGACCCCCGGCUGCCACCCGCCGCCCUCCCGCAGGUGGCCCAGAAUCUUCAUGUGCUGUCCAAGAAGCAAAGGGAUAGAGGAAGAUAGGUGAACAAAUUUUUAAGACCAUGAUGCUGUUCAAGUCAGAAACCGCCUCUUCAGCGUUAUAUUACAGAGAGUGGAGAUGGUAAAUUCUGCAAAAUACGCAUGCUAAUAUCUCUGUUAGAAUAUCCUUUUCUACCUUCUUGUGACUAUUUCAAAGCUAAAAGAUUUUGUGUUUUCCCCUUCACUCCUCAAAACAAGGAGGAGAGCGUUUUGGAAGUCCGAGUGUAUUGUUUAUCAGUUUUAACAUUUCAGUAAAUCCAUUUUAGCUGAAUUAUCAUUUUUAAAGCACUUUAUAUCAACAGUUUUUGUGCCUCUUAGGGUACCAUUGUGUGAAGUAGAGAAUUAAGAAUUGACUGCUUUUGAGACGUUCUCAGAUUGCAGUCAACAGCACAUCUUUUCAUUUCUCGCUAAUGAAGUUUGUGCUGGACAGAGAAUAUAACCCUGCUGGUCUGUGAGCAGCGCACUGAUGGUAUCAGUAGACUUCUGUCAACAUUAAUCAUGCUUUCCAAACGCUAAAAUGGCUUCCUUUCGCCCGAGUUCUCUCAUCAAAGGAAGUCAUUCCUUUUUAAUUUUUAAGUGGUAUUUCUUAAGGUCUUAGACCCAAAACGUACACUGCUAAGAAAAAUUACCAAUUUUAACCUCUUCCUAAAGCUUUCAUAACCCUGAACUGUUAAUUAUCUUGUAGUGGAAUUUAUCAUAUUAACUGGAGGGCUAAUAGAUGUUGUGAGGCCCAGUAUUCCCCAGGAUUGCUAUUUAGAAAUGACUGAGUAAAUGAAAUGUCCAUUGCUGUCCCUCUGCGGACUGCCACUCCUUCAGCCAGAGCACUGCCCCUGAGUCCUGUGAGCAUCUUAGCUCCUCUGGGGACUGGUGUUAAAACUAAAAACUCAGCAUGAUUUUCUGCCAAGAGGAUUUUCAUUUUCUUGCAGUUCCUUCUGGGUUGAUUUUGGAAAGCUAUAUUUUGUGGCUCAGAGAGAGAAAGAGGUUAGACUAGUUUCAGAUAUACACUUUCGAAGUGAUGCUUCUCUGACUCAUUCCUCUAGUCUGACUGGUUUUUCAGACUGGAGGAGUUAAAGAGAAGUAGAGUUUUCUGCUUGUGAAAUGGCAACUGGUUUGAAAGAAUGUAGAUGCAUUCAGGCUACCUCGGGUGUACUCAGGCUGCUCCUGGUUGUAAGUGUGUCAGUGAGGCAGUGAGGAUGUGGGUUUGAAGCUGGGCUCCCUGUGGCCUUGAGAUGGAGGGUGGUGAUGUGCCCCCGAAUCUCUGACUAGGCUGCUCUCUCACUGUUCGCUUCCCAUUCUCCUGCUGCCGGCUGGCUUCCUCGGUGCCUGCCGGGCUUCUGCUUCUGCGUGGCUUUGGCUUACCGUAGCCCUGGCUCUACCUCAUGUCAUCUUUUACUCUCAGCUGUGCUGCUAAUAGACAAAAAUCUCUCUCGUUCAUUCAGAUUCCUGGGGCAGUGAUCUGGCUGGUCCGGCUCUUUGUCCAGGCCAUGGGUCCAAGAGAUGGCUAAUGUGUGAACUGACUGCCCUUUGGCCCGGGGUAGCACCUGACCCAUUAACUAUGCCAGGGAAGAGAGGAGCAAGAUGCAAGUGCUGAACCUGACCCUGACCCUCUCUCCUCAGGGGGAAGGGGUGGGAGUGGGCGUCCCAGGCUAGGCAGGCAGCGCCCCAUCCUCAGAACAGGGGAAUGAACAAUAGUUGCUCUUCUCCAUGAUUCCACAUAAACACUCCUUUUAUUUGUAGUCCCAAUAGAAAGGUGGAUGUUACAUAUAGUUGAGAUUUGGCAUUUUUAGUACCUUUAUUUUUAUUUUUUUUUUACUUUUCUGUCAUUCUUAAGGAAGAUAAAUUGCCAGGUUGGUAGCCCUCAGUGGAUUUGUUACAAAACCAACUUAGUUCUUACCCUCAGAAACAUUCUUGGAUUUUGAAAACCUUCAGUUUUAGUUGGCAUUAGCCCUUGUACCUGUUGUGUUCCUUGUACAAUGACGUAUGUGGGUCUGUAGGCUCUUGAAAUUCUCUAUUCUAGGUGUGUGUCUGGAGCAGCAUCACAUACUCUGAUAACAUGGGAAGUGUUGUACAGAACUUCACCAAAGCGCAAAAAAAUCCACAUAGAGGGUCUGUGUAUAAUGACUUUUGGGUUUGUAUUUAUCUAAAUACAGUUUAGAUGUAUUUAAACUGAAAUUAUUAUAUUAUUAUAUGUAGAUUUUAAGCUGACAUUGUUAAGGGUCGACGCAGAACUUCUGGCCGUGUUAUUUAGCACUCGUAACUUCUUGCCACAUUACCAGAGUUAGCAUGAACUCUUUUUAUUUCUUAUUUUAAAAAUUAUAGUAAAGCCAGAGCUGAAAGCUGACUGCCACAGAGUUUCCAGACAUAUCUUAUUUGGCCUAUACAGAUUUAAAGAAAUUUAAGCCAACAUUGGAGAAAAUGGACAUUUCCACAUAAGUAUUCAGGCUCUUGGCUCCUUAUGAUAACUCUCAUAAUCUGGCUGCUCUGGAACUGCAGGCCUGGUUGGAACUUUGUGAUGGCCGCUCCCUUCAGAGUGCAAGCCCUCCCACAGUAGGUGCCUGUGCACACACAGUAGGCCCUUUGCUGUUCUACCAAUACUGCUGGACGGCUCUGCAUUGCCUGUUGUAACCAUGUGAGUUUGUAUCCCUGUUGUAAAGAAAGAUAUGUUCUCAUUGUGGAAGAUUUGGGAGGCGCAGGCAAAUGUCUGUGUCUGUACGUAUGUGAAUUACCCGUGAUCUGGCAGCCCACGGCAAACCUCUGUUAAUACUUUAGAAUAUUUUUCAAGUCUGUGUCUGCGUGUGUGUGUGUGUGUGUGUGUGUGUAUACACCUACAGAUAUAGAUAUAUAAUACAGGUUUCUUUUUAAAACAACUUUGUUGAGGUGUAAUUGACAUACAAUAAACUGAUCAUAUUUAAAGUGUAUAAUUUUGUA